GAUGAACGCUGGCGGCGUGCCUAAUACAUGCAAGUCGAGCGAACAGACGAGGAGCUUGCUCCUCUAACGUUAGCGGCGGACGGGUGAGUAACACGUGGAUAACCUACCUAUAAGACUGGGAUAACUUCGGGAAACCGGAGCUAAUACCGGAUAAUAUAUUGAACCGCAUGGUUCAAUAGUGAAAGACGGUUUUGCUGUCACUUAUAGAUGGAUCCGCGCCGCAUUAGCUAGUUGGUAAGGUAACAGCUUACCAAGGCAACGAUGCGUAGCCGACCUGAGAGGGUGAUCGGCCACACUGGAACUGAGACACGGUCCAGACUCCUACGGUAGGCAGCAGUAGGGAAUCUUCCGCAAUGGGCGAAAGCCUGACGGAGCAACGCCGCGUGAGUGAUGAAGGUCUUCGGAUCGUAAAACUCUGUUAUUAGGGAAGAACAAAUGUGUAAGUAACUAUGCACGUCUUGACGGUACCUAAUCAGAAAGCCACGGCUAACUACGUG
rnacentral:rRNA from 1 species